UUAAGUUAUUAAGGGCGCACGGUGGAUGCCUUGGCACUAGAAGCCGAUGAAGGACGUUACUAACGACGAUAUGCUUUGGGGAGCUGUAAGUAAGCUUUGAUCCAGAGAUUUCCGAAUGGGGAAACCCAGCAUGAGUUAUGUCAUGUUAUCGAUAUGUGAAUACAUAGCAUAUCAGAAGGCACACCCGGAGAACUGAAACAUCUUAGUACCCGGAGGAAGAGAAAGAAAAUUCGAUUCCCUUAGUAGCGGCGAGCGAAACGGGAAGAGCCCAAACCAACAAGCUUGCUUGUUGGGGUUGUAGGACACUCUAUACGGAGUUACAAAGGACGACAUUAGACGAAUCAUCUGGAAAGAUGAAUCAAAGAAGGUAAUAAUCCUGUAGUCGAAAAUGUUGUCUCUCUUGAGUGGAUCCUGAGUACGACGGAGCACGUGAAAUUCCGUCGGAAUCUGGGAGGACCAUCUCCUAAGGCUAAAUACUCUCUAGUGACCGAUAGUGAACCAGUACCGUGAGGGAAAGGUGAAAAGCACCCCGGAAGGGGAGUGAAAUAGAACCUGAAACCGUGUGCUUACAAGUAGUCAGAGCCCGUUAAUGGGUGAUGGCGUGCCUUUUGUAGAAUGAACCGGCGAGUUACGAUUUGAUGCAAGGUUAAGCAGUAAAUGUGGAGCCGUAGCGAAAGCGAGUCUGAAUAGGGCGUUUAGUAUUUGGUCGUAGACCCGAAACCAGGUGAUCUACCCUUGGUCAGGUUGAAGUUCAGGUAACACUGAAUGGAGGACCGAACCGACUUACGUUGAAAAGUGAGCGGAUGAACUGAGGGUAGCGGAGAAAUUCCAAUCGAACCUGGAGAUAGCUGGUUCUCUCCGAAAUAGCUUUAGGGCUAGCCUCAAGUGAUGAUUAUUGGAGGUAGAGCACUGUUUGGACGAGGGGCCCCUCUCGGGUUACCGAAUUCAGACAAACUCCGAAUGCCAAUUAAUUUAACUUGGGAGUCAGAACAUGGGUGAUAAGGUCCGUGUUCGAAAGGGAAACAGCCCAGACCACCAGCUAAGGUCCCAAAAUAUAUGUUAAGUGGAAAAGGAUGUGGCGUUGCCCAGACAACUAGGAUGUUGGCUUAGAAGCAGCCAUCAUUUAAAGAGUGCGUAAUAGCUCACUAGUCGAGUGACACUGCGCCGAAAAUGUACCGGGGCUAAACAUAUUACCGAAGCUGUGGAUUGUCCUUUGGACAAUGGUAGGAGAGCGUUCUAAGGGCGUUGAAGCAUGAUCGUAAGGACAUGUGGAGCGCUUAGAAGUGAGAAUGCCGGUGUGAGUAGCGAAAGACGGGUGAGAAUCCCGUCCACCGAUUGACUAAGGUUUCCAGAGGAAGGCUCGUCCGCUCUGGGUUAGUCGGGUCCUAAGCUGAGGCCGACAGGCGUAGGCGAUGGAUAACAGGUUGAUAUUCCUGUACCACCUAUAAUCGUUUUAAUCGAUGGGGGGACGCAGUAGGAUAGGCGAAGCGUGCGAUUGGAUUGCACGUCUAAGCAAUAAGGCUGAGUAUUAGGCAAAUCCGGUACUCGUUAAGGCUGAGCUGUGAUGGGGAGAAGACAUUGUGUCUUCGAGUCGUUGAUUUCACACUGCCGAGAAAAGCCUCUAGAUAGAAAAUAGGUGCCCGUACCGCAAACCGACACAGGUAGUCAAGAUGAGAAUUCUAAGGUGAGCGAGCGAACUCUCGUUAAGGAACUCGGCAAAAUGACCCCGUAACUUCGGGAGAAGGGGUGCUCUUUAGGGUUAACGCCCAGAAGAGCCGCAGUGAAUAGGCCCAAGCGACUGUUUAUCAAAAACACAGGUCUCUGCUAAACCGUAAGGUGAUGUAUAGGGGCUGACGCCUGCCCGGUGCUGGAAGGUUAAGAGGAGUGGUUAGCUUCUGCGAAGCUACGAAUCGAAGCCCCAGUAAACGGCGGCCGUAACUAUAACGGUCCUAAGGUAGCGAAAUUCCUUGUCGGGUAAGUUCCGACCCGCACGAAAGGCGUAACGAUUUGGGCACUGUCUCAACGAGAGACUCGGUGAAAUCAUAGUACCUGUGAAGAUGCAGGUUACCCGCGACAGGACGGAAAGACCCCGUGGAGCUUUACUGUAGCCUGAUAUUGAAAUUCGGCACAGCUUGUACAGGAUAGGUAGGAGCCUUUGAAACGUGAGCGCUAGCUUACGUGGAGGCGCUGGUGGGAUACUACCCUAGCUGUGUUGGCUUUCUAACCCGCAACACUUAUCGUGGUGGGAGACAGUGUCAGGCGGGCAGUUUGACUGGGGCGGUCGCCUCCUAAAAGGUAACGGAGGCGCUCAAAGGUUCCCUCAGAAUGGUUGGAAAUCAUUCAUAGAGUGUAAAGGCAUAAGGGAGCUUGACUGCGAGACCUACAAGUCGAGCAGGGUCGAAAGACGGACUUAGUGAUCCGGUGGUUCCGCAUGGAAGGGCCAUCGCUCAACGGAUAAAAGCUACCCCGGGGAUAACAGGCUUAUCUCCCCCAAGAGUUCACAUCGACGGGGAGGUUUGGCACCUCGAUGUCGGCUCAUCGCAUCCUGGGGCUGUAGUCGGUCCCAAGGGUUGGGCUGUUCGCCCAUUAAAGCGGUACGCGAGCUGGGUUCAGAACGUCGUGAGACAGUUCGGUCCCUAUCCGUCGUGGGCGUAGGAAAUUUGAGAGGAGCUGUCCUUAGUACGAGAGGACCGGGAUGGACAUACCUCUGGUGUACCAGUUGUCGUGCCAACGGCAUAGCUGGGUAGCUAUGUGUGGACGGGAUAAGUGCUGAAAGCAUCUAAGCAUGAAGCCCCCCUCAAGAUGAGAUUUCCCAACUUCGGUUAUAAGAUCCCUCAAAGAUGAUGAGGUUAAUAGGUUCGAGGUGGAAGCAUGGUGACAUGUGGAGCUGACGAAUACUAAUCGAUCGAAGACUUAAUCAA
rnacentral:rRNA from 1 species